AGAACUUAGCAGAGAUGCUUUGGUGCCUUCGGGAACUCUGAGACAGGUGCUGCAUGGCUGUCGUCAGCUCGUGUUGUGAAAUGUUGGGUUAAGUCCCGCAACGAGCGCAACCCUUAUCCUUUGUUGCCAGCGGUCCGGCCGGGAACUCAAAGGAGACUGCCAGUGAUAAACUGGAGGAAGGUGGGGAUGACGUCAAGUCAUCAUGGCCCUUACGAGUAGGGCUACACACGUGCUACAAUGGCGCAUACAAAGAGAAGCGACCUCGCGAGAGCAAGCGGACCUCAUAAAGUGCGUCGUAGUCCGGAUUGGAGUCUGCAACUCGACUCCAUGAAGUCGGAAUCGCUAGUAAUCGUAGAUCAGAAUGCUACGGUGAAUACGUUCCCGGGCCUUGUACAUACCGCCCGUCACACCAUGGGAGUGGGUUGCAAAAGAAGUAGGUAGCUUAACCUUCGGGAGGGCGCUUACCACUUUGUGAUUCAUGACUGGGGUGAAGUCGUAACAAGGUAAGCGUAGCGAG
rnacentral:rRNA from 1 species